rnacentral:rRNA from 1 species
UACGUAGGCAGCAAGCGUUGUUCGGAGUUACUGGGCGUAAAGCGCACGCAGGCGGUCUGCUAAGUUUGGAGUGACAGUUGGUGGCUUAACUGCCAAAGUGCUUCGAAAACUGACAGACUUGAGGGCUUCAGAGGGACACGGAAUUCCGGGUGGAGUGGUGAAAUGCGUAGAGAUCCGGAGGAACACCAAAGGCGAAGGCAGUGUCCUGGGGAGUACCUGACGCUCAGGUGCGAAAGCCAGGGGAGCGAACGGGG